rnacentral:rRNA from 1 species
UACGUAGGUGGCAAGCGUCGUCCGGAAUUAUUGGGCGUAAAGCGCGCGCAGGUGGUUCCUUAAGUCUGAUGUGAAAGCCCCCGGCUCAACCGGGGAGGGUCAUUGGAAACUGGGGAACUUGAGUGCAGAAGAGGAUAGUGGAAUUCCAAGUGUAGCGGUGAAAUGCGUAGAGAUUUGGAGGAACACCAGUGGCGAAGGCGACUAUCUGGUCUGUAACUGACACUGAGGCGCGAAAGCGUGGGGAGCAAACAGG